AGAGUUUGAUCCUGGCUCAGAAUCAACGCUGGCGGCGUGCCUAACACAUGCAAGUCGAACGAGAAAGUGGAGCAAUCCAUGAGUAAAGUGGCGCACGGGUGAGUAACACGUGACUAACCUGCCCUUGAGUGGGGAAUAACCUAGGGAAACCUGGGCUAAUACCGCAUAACACCUACGGGUCAAAGGAGCAAUUCGCUUAAGGAGGGGGUCGCGGCAGAUUAGCUAGUUGGCGGGGUAAUGGCCCACCAAGGCGGUGAUCUGUAUCCGGCCUGAGAGGGCGCACGGACACACUGGAACUGAAACACGGUCCAGACUCCUACGGGAGGCAGCAGUGGGGAAUUUUGCGCAAUGGGGGAAACCCUGACGCAGCAACGCCGCGUGGAGGAUGAAGUCCCUUGGGACGUAAACUCCUUUCGAUCGGGACGAUUAUGACGGUACCGGAAGAAGAAGCCCCGGCUAACUUCGUGCCAGCAGCCGCGGUAAUACGAGGGGGGCAAGCGUUGUUCGGAAUUACUGGGCGUAAAGGGUGCGUAGGCGGUUCGGUAAGUCUUAUGUGAAAUCUUCAGGCUCAACUUGAAGUCUGCAUGAGAAACUGCCGGGCUUGAGUGUGGGAGAGGUGAGUGGAAUUUCCGGUGUAGCGGUGAAAUGCGUAGAUAUCGGAAGGAACACCUGUGGCGAAAGCGGCUCACUGGACCAUAACUGACGCUGAUGCACGAAAGCUAGGGGAGCAAACAGGAUUAGAUACCCCCGUAGUCC
rnacentral:rRNA from 1 species